rnacentral:rRNA from 1 species
GAUGAACGCUAGCUACAGGCUUAACACAUGCAAGUCGAGGGGCAUCAGGAAGAAAGCUUGCUUUCUUUGCUGGCGACCGGCGCACGGGUGAGUAACACGUAUCCAACCUGCCCUUUACUCGGGGAUAGCCUUUCGAAAGAAAGAUUAAUACCCGAUGACAUAAUGAUUCCGCAUGGUUUCAUUAUUAAAGGAUUCCGGUAAAGGAUGGGGAUGCGUUCCAUUAGGUUGUUGGUGAGGUAACGGCUCACCAAGCCUUCGAUGGAUAGGGGUUCUGAGAGGAAGGUCCCCCACAUUGGAACUGAGACACGGUCCAAACUCCUACGGGAGGCAGCAGUGAGGAAUAUUGGUCAAUGGGCGCUAGCCUGAACCAGCCAAGUAGCGUGAAGGAUGAAGGCUCUAUGGGUCGUAAACUUCUUUUAUAUAAGAAUAAAGUGCAGUAUGUAUACUGUUUUGUAUGUAUUAUAUGAAUAAGGAUCGGCUAACUCCGUGCCAGCAGCCGCGGUAA